AUGACAGAAAACCUGUGCCUUAGUCUAAUAACUCUUUUAAGGCUGCAGAAGCAUAUAUUUUGCUGAAGCAAAAUGUGAUGGCAAUCUUAAUUCAAAGAUCUAUCUGCAAAGAUAUUUUUCCUAUUUCAGGAAGUUUGGACUCCUGGCCUCUCUCUGCAAUCCAUCCCAUGAAGUCAUCUGGCAGUCCCUAGAUGAGGUGAUGCUGAAGACACUGUGUGCACCUUGGACCAGCAUAGAAGUUCCUGUAGGUUUCAAAAGAAAUUUCC
rnacentral:lncRNA from 1 species